AUGGGCAAAUCAUCUGAGAAUUUCAAGAGCAAAUCCCCUAAGGAAAUCAACAAGAGCAUCAAAGGUAGAAAGAACUUCAGUAACAGGGAUGAAGAAACCCAAAAAAAGAAGAAGGAUCCUAUUGAAGAAUUUGAAUAUGACUCAAAUGCUGACGAGGAUUACGUGUCCUUCCUCAUGACUUAUGAUUGGAGUGAUGGCCAAGUGUGA